UUCCGUUAAAUCCAGCGAUUCGAUCGUUGGGCUGCGGGGGAUACUGUUGGGCUAGGGGACGGGAGAGGCCGACGGUAUUCCCGGAGUAGGGGUGAAAUCCUAUAAUUCCGGGAGGACCACCUGUGGCGAAGGCUGUCGGCUAGAACGCGCCUGACGGUGAGGGAUGAAAGCUGGGGGAGCGAACCGGAUUAGAUACCCGGGUAGUCCCAGCCGUAAACGAUGCAGGCUAGGUGUUGGCGCGGAUACGCGCCGCUCCAGUGCCGCAGGGAAGCCGUUAAGCCUGCCGCCUGGGAAGUACGGCCGCAAGGCUGAAACUUAAAGGAAUUGGUGGGGGAGCACCACAAGGGGUGAAGCUUGCGGUUUAAUUGGAGUCAACGCCGGAAAUCUCACCGGGGGCGACAGCAGAAUGAAGGUCAGAUUGAAGGUCUUACCAGACAAGCUGAGAGGAGGUGCAUGGCCGUCGCCAGUUCGUGCCGUGAGGUGUCCUGUUAAGUCAGGCAACGAUCGAGACCCGCGUUCCCUGUUGCCACCGGCCUUGAGCCGAGCACACUGGGGAGACUGCCGCCGAAAAGGCGGAGGAAGGAGCGGGCCACGGCAGGUCAGUAUGCCCCGAAUCCCCCGGGCCACACGCGAGCUGCAAUGGCAGGUACAGAGGGUCCCAACCCCGAAAGGGGAAGGAAAUCCCGAAAGCCUGCCGUAGUUGGGAUCGAGGGUUGCAACUCACCCUCGUGAAUCAUGGAAUCCCUAGUAAUCGCGUGUCAUUAUCGCGCGGUGAAU
rnacentral:rRNA from 1 species